AGUGAGCUUUGAGCAUGAUAACUCUAACAGAGACAGUCAUUACUGUCUCUGAAAGUGAGAGCAUCUUCUAACUCUGGGGGAGAUUUCUCCCCUGUGAAGUUCCACAUGCUAUCACUGGGACUCAAGGCUCUGGACAAGGAAAAGGCUGCAGGGGCAAAGUCAAACCAGCAGGGGGCACCGUACCCUUGCACCACAGACGUAGGAUGGCAUCCCAAUACUUAUCAUUACAAUAAAUCCAUCUUGUGUCCUGAAUGCUGGUCUUCCAGGCAAACCAGCCUCAGUUUUCAUCAGGCCAGGUCCGUGUGCUUGUGAGAGGCCGUCGGAAGCAGGCCGGCUGACAGUGGACAGUCUCUCUGAGAAGGAAGCAGCUGGUCUUCACCUGAGACUUCGGUUGCUUCCUCAGCUGCUUCCAGCCCGGUGUGUACAAUUCUGCCGUACACUGGUGACCUGAGGUAGGAUUUAAAGUCCUCACCUGAAAACACUUCUUAUCCAGGGGAUACUGCCACAGAUCCUGACCACAGACCGACCGGCUCCUCCUCAGGUCAGAACGACAGUUUAGGGUAAAUCGUUGUGAGAUUGCACGGUGAUUAAGACACAGCAGCUGGGGGCAGGCGAGUGUGCACUCAGGUACAUUUUCUUAUGAGGCUUUUGAACUGAUUCC